GCCCUCGGUGGCUCAGAUGGACAGAGCUCCUGCCUUGUAAGCAGGAGAUCCUGGGUUUGAGUCCCGGUCGGGGCA